AAGUCAGGUUCAUGUGCAGUCUAUGUGGAUUCUAGUACCCAUUAAAAAAUUAGUAUGAUUCCUUGAAUUGGAGAUAGAGGCUUCCAAUUCGUACAAAAUAGUGGGAGAACCUUUAGACCAAAGUUCAUAUCUUUAGGCUUAAUUAAUUCAUAUACUAAUUAGAGUUUUUGAUUUUUCUUUUAUGUAGUUAUGGCCACCAACU
rnacentral:lncRNA from 1 species